rnacentral:rRNA from 1 species
AGGAUGAACGCUGGCGGCGUGCCUAACACAUGCAAGUCGAACGCGCUUUCGGGCUUCGGUGCGAGAGCGAGUGGCGGACGGGUGAGUAACACAUGGGUACCUACCUUGGAGUGAGGGAUACCGGCGAGAAAUCGCCGACAAUACCGCAUAGGCUUCUUCACAAGGGAAGCAAAGUGACGCGAGUCACGCUUUGAGAUGGGCCUGUGGCCGAUUAGCUAGUUGGGGGGUAACGGCUUCCCAAGGCGACGAUCGGUAGCUGGUCUGAGAGGACGAUCAGCCACACUGGGAUUGAGAACGGCCCAGACUCCUACGGGGGGCAGCAGUGAGGAAUUUUCCGCAAUGGAGGCAACUCUGACGGAGCAACGCCGCGUGCAGGAGGAAGGUUUUCGGAUCGUAAACUGCUUUUCUCGGGGACGAGCGAAGGACGGUACCCGAGGAAGAAGCCCCGGCUAACGUACGUGCCAGCAGCCGC